CUAACCUGGACAUCAUGCCUUCAAACAUGAAAUAAGUUGAGCAAUGUUUUAUUACUUUUCUCAAGUGCUGGGCUUUGCAAGUUCCCAACCAUGAUUUAGCAUGCAGAGCUCACAUCACCGGAUUUCUGAUGCUAUAAUAGCACAGAGGAUGACAUGCUUUGAAUUCAAAUGAAGAGAAGGCACCUCACAGGAAGAAAGGGGAGGGUAACCUGGCAGGCUGUCUGGCACACACAGGAGGGCUGACAGCUAGAGGGAAAUUGUCCCACCUCUUCAGGACCUCCCUUCCUGUCUGAUACCAACUAGUUGCUUCCCCAGAUGACUGACAUGCUUUGAAACCAGUAAGAUACUUUGAACCUGAAGACACUGCUGUGUGGUGAAAUGGCCUAGUAAGUAUAGUAGUAAGACACUUCCUGGAAGGCAAGGUAAGCAAACAGUAGAUGUCAUGGUUAAAACAAACAAAAAAAUAAUUUACUGCUUGAGACCCACGUAGUGAAUGAAAGUGCACAACAGGUAAGAUUUAAGAAGUACUUUCUUAGUUGCAACCACUUUAACAGGUGCUUGUAUACCAGUGCUGGCACCACAAGUAUGUAUACACAAGACUAGGCUGUUUAUUUACCGGAGUGCUUGAUUCAAAUACAAAGUAAUACAAAAAACAAAUAAGAUAAAUGACGCUCGUUGUUGGUUCAUAGUUUGCAGGUUUUCUAAACGUUUAUUUAUACUAAACUAAGUGAAGGAGUUUACACAUUUAAAAGGUGGCAACAUUACUAAUGAAUACACCUUAUUUUGCAGAAUGCAGUUGUCCCAAGGACUUGGAGAACCAUCUCAGUUCAUCUUAGCACAUGGCAAGUUCAGGAAAUCAGGAUACUGUAAGUUAUCACAAUUCUCAGGAUGUAUUUGCAGGCUACUCUGUGAAGUAUAGCCUUAUAAGAUAGUAAAGACCUGUAUAUUAAACCUGCAUGACUGCAUUCCGAGUUCAGGUAGGCAUGUACAGUACUGACUUUUUAUCUACAGCAAGAUGCCCAAUGGCAUGCACCAGUCUGGGCACUGUAACAAGGCUGAAGUAUUCAUAGAUAUUUGUAUUCAAAUGCCACCAUAUGUAACAAAGCUCUGGCUAAGGCUGGUUUGCGCCCUUAAAAACAGUUGGCCCAGACACAAGAACUGCAGUUGACGCUUUUCUGUGCAGUUUUAUUAGCAAAUACAAAUCAAAUAGAACAAAACACUGGAACAAAACCAAAAGCCUAACUCCACCUAGGAGUGCUAACUAAACUUUGCAAUUGCUAAACUCAUAGAACCAGACGGCUAAGCCGUUCACUGGUAACAAAACCCACUUGUUACACACAGUACCUUCUCUUUAUGUUCGACCAUACAGAUCUUUGACCUCCACACAGACAGCCUAACAAACAUUUGUGACCUGCCUUUAUACCUGCCUGCUUAAUCCCAGGCAGGUGUCCCUUAUUAAAUUAGAGCCAGGUGAUUCCACUUCUGGCUCAACUCCAACCCUAUGGCAUUCUGGGGGGUGUAGUCUUGUACUAACCUCUGGACUACAGUUUCCUUCUCCCCCCUACUCUGCCACAAUAGAUAUACAGUGAUAUAUUGUGUGGUAUAAGAAUCUCAUGUUAUGUUGUCAAAAUAUCACCACAUUCUAAAUUGUUGUAAGACGUUUGGGUAGAAAUUGCGUUACACAAAAAUAAAAAAAUAAAAAAGUCUAUUAAAAAAUAAAAAUGUAGUGUUAAUGGCUCCUUUUAACUUGAAUUGUUAAAAAAAAAAACAAUGUGGACUUUUUUUCUGGGGGGGUUGUAAAGUAACACUUUUGUGUAUUAAUUUACUGUAUUAUAUACAUAUUCUUAAAGUAGUGAAAUUACAACAUAAUUUAAACCUACUUUUAAAUAAUUUUAUUCCAGGCUGCCAUUCAGACAAAUACACAUAAACCAAACUUAAUUAAACAAUCGUUCUGGUCAUUUGUCUUUAACCAGACAGAAAUAGUCAAGACUCAUUUUUUCGAACUGAUCUCCAUCCUAGGUUUACACAACUGCAUGACAUUUCUUAAAUUCCACACAAACAGUUUGCAUAAAACAUUACAACACGUUUUUCACCCGUAAUGAUAAGUCUUUCUCUGUUCUGAGAUGAAGUCAUUUUCAUAAGAUGAGUAAAUAGAUACAGUAAGAGCAUGUCAACAUGGAAAGCCCAAUGCUUGUUUAACAAGCCACCCUCAGUAGGAUUUCUAUGUGGAAAAUGUAUCCCAGAGACCCCAUAAGUGGUUGUUAGCCAACUCAUUUGUACUGCAGGGAUUCAUUUUAAGGAAUCUAAUUGCUUUGUACACAUUUGGGUAAAAGGCCACUGUGACAUUCAGUUUACAAUUUAAGAUCAGAUUAAUUUAUUAGAUCAGUUCUUCCCAUAGCGUCCACUGGCCGUAAUUCAUUUCAGUUUGCAGCUGCUAUUGACUGGAAUGAAUUUCAAAUCAAAUUAAAACUACAGAGUUUAUGUUUUUAAUCGGAAUCUUAAUUCACUAUUGUCUGAUGCAUGUGUAUGUAUUUGUUAAUGUGUUAUUUAUUUAUUUUCUGUGUUAUAUUUGUUUCCUUUGCACUGCUGUGAUGAUUGUCUCUUGACCAGAUCGUUGUUGUAAAUGAGAAUUUGUUCUCAAUCUUCUUAUCUGGUAAAAUACAGGUUAAAUGAAAUGAAACACUACAGUGUGCUGUGAAACCCACUGUCUGCAGCACUUCCUUUUUCCCCUCAUGUGAGUCAAUAUUAGUUUACUGUGAAAACACUGGAUGUCGGUAAUAAUGUCUUUAGCCAAAGGCUCUGAUUUGUUCACAUAGUUUUUCAUCCUUUUUAUAUACGAUUCCCUAACAAAAAAGCUUUGUGCCACACAACACAUGUGCUGAAUUGGAACAUCCAAUAUUUUCCCAGAGAGAAAUCUAUUCAUACUAAAUCUUCAUUGAAGCAGGUUCAGAUGGUCAAUAAAAGAAACUCUGUUGGAACUUGACUGCUCAAAAUGAUUAUAACGGUUCUGCACCUAUUUACAGGGAUGAUACAAAGACAGCAAACUUGGGAUCAGAUACUGUAGAAAUGGUUUUCUUAAUAGAUCGCCACCAUUGAUCCUAAGAAGGAAAGCAUAUUGUUGCCCAAGGCAUCUGCACUAACUUCAGAUCCAUGUGGAGGAUCAAACAAUACACGGUGAUGAAGAUAUGUGACACAUGUACUUGACAAAAAACUGUGUGAGGCACCAUCACCGAUUUUGACAUCAUUUUCAGAAUUGCUCACCCAAACCAAGGAAAGAGCACAUGGUUCAUACUCUCUCUAUUUUGUAAUCUCGCUCAGAUUACAGGCAUGAUGAAUAGGACCAUCCUUACAUAUUUGGGCCAAGCAAUAUACUGUACUAUUUUCUCUUUUCAAAAACAUUGGAGAAACUGGCAGAGUAGAAGAAUGUUACUUUGCAGAAGCUUUCCUAUCCAUAAAAAACACUACCUCUGCAGAUCAUUUGCCUUGUAUUUUUUUCACCUAAUUUUUGCCGCAGCCCAUAUCUAGUGUGUAAUGAUCGAUUUGUUGAAAAUGAAUGCUUAAUUAAAACAUGGGACUUUGCGGGUGCCGUGCAUCCUACAUAAAAUGCAAACAGGAUCACUGAUCAAUUACAAAUACUCAGAAUAGUCUAUAGAUAAUUUGGGGUUUUGUUUUAUUAUUUUUCUGAAAAUAAAACUGUCAGUACUGCUUUAUAAAAGACCAGUUGAUAGAUGCUUGUACAGUGAACCAUAUCAAUACUUUUACAUUGACGGUCAAGGGCAAGACUCAACAGGCCAGACUGUCUUUUUAAAGAAAAAAAGCAGUAGC